GCGGGCAUGAUGGAAUUGGCAGACAUGCAGGAUUUAGGUUCCUGUGCCUUGUGCGUUGGGGUUCAAGUCCCCAUGCCCGCACCA
rnacentral:tRNA from 1 species